rnacentral:tRNA from 1 species
GCCGGAGUGGUGGAACGGCAGACACGCAGGUCUUAGGAACCUGUGCCCGAGGGCGUGCGGGUUCGAAUCCCGCCUCCGGCA